rnacentral:rRNA from 1 species
CUGUGGAACGGCUGGGCAUACUGGCGGUCUUGAGCCAUCUAGGGGCGACUGGAACAGACGGUGGAGCGGUGAAAUGCGUAGAUAUCGUUUGGAACGCCGAUGGUGAAAACAGGUCGCUGGGGAUGAGCUGACGCUGAGACACGAAAGCCAGGGAGCAAACGGGAUUACAUACCCCGGUAGUCCUGGCCCUAAACGAUGUCCACUAGAUCAUGGUUCCUCUGACGGAUUCAUGGUCGAAGCAAAAGUGCUAAGUGGACCGCCUGGGAAGUACGGGCGCAAGGCUAAAACUCAAAGGAAUUGACGGGCGCUCACACGAGCGGUGGAGCAUGUGGUUCAAUUCCAAGCAACGCGCAGAACCUUACCUGGGCUUGACAUGCUUGGAUUAUCCCUAUGAAAGUAGGGUAGGCCCUUCGGGGUACAACAAGUACAGGUGCUGCAUGGCUGUCGUCAGCUCGUGUCGUGAGAUGUCGGGUUAAGUCCCAUAACGAGCGAAACCUUUGCCCUUAGUUACCAGCGGGUUAAGCCGGGGACUCUAAGGGGACUGCCGGUGUCAAACCGGAGGAAGGUGGAGAUGACGUCAAGUCCUCAUGGCCUUUAUGCCCAGGGCCACACACGUGCUACAAUGGCGUCGACAAAGCGAACCUAAAGCGCAAGCUGGUGGGAAACGCAAAAAUGACGCCCCAGUUCAGAUCGGAGGCUGCAACUCGCCUCCGUGAAGUUGGAAUCGCUAGUAAUCGCGGAUCAGCUACGCCGCGGUGAAUGUGUUCCUGAGCCUUGUCCACCCCCCCCGUCAAGUCAU